rnacentral:misc_RNA from 1 species
UGUUCGAGCGUCAUUACACCACUCAAGCCUCGCUUGGUAUUGGGCGACGCGGUACGCCGCGCGCCUCUAAACGACCGGCUGGGUCGAUCGUCCCUCAGCGUUGUGGAAACUAUUCGCUACGGGUCGCGGUCGAGCACGCCGUUAAACAACCAAACUCAAAGGUUGACCUCGGAUCAGGUAGGGAUACCCGCUGAACUUAA